UUGAGUGCAGAAGAGGACAGUGGAACUCCAUGUGUAGCGGUGGAAUGCGUAGAUAUAUGGAAGAACACCAGUGGCGAAGGCGGCUGUCUGGUCUGCAACUGACGCUGAGGCUCGAAAGCAUGGGUAGCGAACAGGAUUAGAUACCCUGGUAGUCCAUGCCGUAAACGAUGAGUGCUAGGUGUUGGAGGGUUUCCGCCCUUCAGUGCCGCAGCUAACGCAUUAAGCACUCCGCCUGGGGAGUACGACCGCAAGGUUGAAACUCAAAGGAAUUGACGGGGGCCCGCACAAGCGGUGGAGCAUGUGGUUUAAUUCGAAGCUACGCGAAGAACCUUACCAGGUCUUGACAUCUUGCGCUAACCUAAGAGAUUAGGCGUUCCCUUCGGGGACGCAAUGACAGGUGGUGCAUGGUCGUCGUCAGCUCGUGUCGUGAGAUGUUGGGUUAAGUCCCGCAACGAGCGCAACCCUUGUUACUAGUUGCCAGCAUUCAGUUGGGCACUCUAGUGAGACUGCCGGUGACAAACCGGAGGAAGGUGGGGACGACGUCAGAUCAUCAUGCCCCUUAUGACCUGGGCUACACACGUGCUACAAUGGCCGGUACAACGAGCAGCUAACCCGCGAGGGUGUGCAAAUCUCUUAAAGCCGGUCUCAGUUCGGACUGCAGUCUGCAACUCGACUGCACGAAGUCGGAAUCGCUAGUAAUCGCGGAUCAGCAUGCC
rnacentral:rRNA from 1 species